rnacentral:rRNA from 1 species
AGAGUUUGAUCAUGGCUCAGGACGAACGCUGGCGGCGUGCUUAACACAUGCAAGUCGAACGAUGAAGCCUAGCUUGCUAGGUGGAUUAGUGGCGAACGGGUGAGUAAUACGUGAGUGACCUACCUUUGACUCUGGGAUAAGCCUGGGAAACUGGGUCUAAUACCGGAUACGACCAAUCUCCGCAUGGGGUGUUGGUGGAAAGCGUUAUGGAGUGGUUUUAGAUGGGCUCACGGCCUAUCAGCUUGUUGGUGAGGUAAUGGCUUACCAAGGCGACGACGGGUAGCCGGCCUGAGAGGGUGACCGGCCACACUGGGACUGAGACACGGCCCAGACUCCUACGGGAGGCAGCAGUGGGGAAUAUUGCACAAUGGGCGCAAGCCUGAUGCAGCGACGCCGCGUGAGGGAUGACGGCCUUCGGGUUGUAAACCUCUGUUAGCAUCGAAGAAGCGAAAGUGACGGUAGGUGCAGAGAAAGCGCCGGCUAACUACGUGCCAGCAGCCGCGGUAAUACGUAGGGCGCGAGCGUUGUCCGGAAUUAUUGGGCGUAAAGAGCUUGUAGGCGGUUGGUCGCGUCUGCUGUGAAAGGCUGGGGCUUAACCCUGGUUUUGCAGUGGGUACGGGCUAACUAGAGUGCAGUAGGGGAGACUGGAAUUCCUGGUGUAGCGGUGGAAUGCGCAGAUAUCAGGAGGAACACCGAUGGCGAAGGCAGGUCUCUGGGCUGUAACUGACGCUGAGAAGCGAAAGCAUGGGGGGAGCGAACAGGAUUAGAUACCCUGGUAGUCCAUGCCGUAAACGUUGGGCACUAGGUGUGGGGGACAUUCCACGUUUUCCGCGCCGUAGCUAACGCAUUAAGUGCCCCGCAUGGGGAGUACGGCCGCAAGGCUAAAACUCAAAGAAAUUGACGGGGGCCCGCACAAGCGGCGGAGCAUGCGGAUUAAUUCGAUGCAACGCGAAGAACCUUACCAAGGCUUGACAUAUACUGGACUGCGUCAGAGAUGGCGUUUCCCUUCGGGGCUGGUAUACAGGUGGUGCAUGGUUGUCGUCAGCUCGUGUCGUGAGAUGUUGGGUUAAGUCCCGCAACGAGCGCAACCCUCGUUCUAUGUUGCCAGCACGUGAUGGUGGGGACUCAUAGGAGACUGCCGGGGUCAACUCGGAGGAAGGUGGGGAUGACGUCAAAUCAUCAUGCCCCUUAUGUCUUGGGCUUCACGCAUGCUACAAUGGCCGGUACAGAGGGUUGCGAUACUGUGAGGUGGAGCUAAUCCCUAAAAGCCGGUCUCAGUUCGGAUUGGGGUCUGCAACUCGACCCCAUGAAGUCGGAGUCGCUAGUAAUCGCAGAUCAGCAACGCUGCGGUGAAUACGUUCCCGGGCCUUGUACACACCGCCCGUCAAG